GACUGUUUUGAUGAGAAAUUUAAAGAUUACGUGUCCCAUCCGUUUGACUCACAGUUUGGUACCAUAGGUUGGUACGAUCUUCGUUGGAGAAGGAAAAGGGAUGUUCCAGAUACAGAAAACCGUCAAACCAUUUACAACAAAGUCCGUUUCUGAACCAUACGAUGAGACUGUUUUGAUGAGGAAUUGAAAGAUUAUGUGUCCCAUCCAUUUGACUCACAGUUUGGUACCAUAGGUUGGUACGAUCUUCGUUGGAGAAGGAAAAGGGAUGUUCCAGAUACAGAAAAUCGUCAAACCAUUUACGACAAAGUCCGUUUCUGGGUGGAGUUAGUGGAACCGAAAAAGAUGUCUCCCUCACAGUGUUUGUGACAAAAGAAUUGCAUCGUUCCUUGGCGGCCUUUCAACAGAAUAUUCAGAGAUUUCCCGAGUGGGAAGAAUGACACAAUCAUCGCCUUGGAAGCUUCAUCACGAUACUACUUUGCAUUUCUGAAGAGGGAAGAAGAAAUCAACAUGCAAAUUCAAUUCCAUGGUUUUGGAAGUCCCAUUGAGAACACGAUUCAUUUGCGCCGGCACAAUGCUCUGACCGAGAAAGAAUUGAAGUUUCCACUUGGAAGAAAGAUUCACAUCAAAUUGACUGGUCAAGUAAAUGGGACACUGACUAACCAUACGAUGAGACUGUUUUGAUGAGGAAUUUAAAGAUUAUGUGUCCCAUCCGUUUGACUCACAGUUUGGUACCAUAGGUUGGUACGAUCUUCGUU